UUUAAUACUCGCUAUUUCUAUGGAAGUCGUGUAUUCCUAAACGCUGUCGUUCUCUAUCCUUAUCAUCCAAUGAUCCAAAAAAUAAGAUCCUUACGUCUUCUUACCGAGCUCUUCUACGAUACCAGGUGGACAGCGAUCAUCUCCUUAACUUUCAAAAAACUAAGAGAAAUCAGUUGAAAAUAUUGUAACUGUAAGCAUAAUUUACUAUCUCAGUCAAAAAUAUUCUGCUCAUUGAAUAGUGAGCCAUCACUUUUUGUAAUUAGUUUCAGUGAAUAAUAAUUAAGGCUAUGUUUGGUUAGCUGGUUAAAGUUAC